AACGCUAGCUACAGGCUUAACACAUGCAAGUCGAGGGGCAGCAUGAACUUAGCUCGCUAAGUUCGAUGGCGACCGGCGCACGGGCGAGUAACACGUAUCCAACCUGCCGAUGACUCGGGGAUAGCCUUUCGAAAGAAAGAUUAAUACCCGAUGGCAUAGUUCUUCCGCAUGGUAGAACUAUUAAAGAAUUUCGGUCAUCGAUGGGGAUGCGUUCCAUUAGGUUGUUGGCGGGGUAACGGCCCACCAAGCCUUCGAUGGAUAGGGGUUCUGAGAGGAAGGUCCCCCACAUUGGAACUGAGACACGGUCCAAACUCCUACGGGAGGCAGCAGUGAGGAAUGUUGGUCAAUGGACGAGAGUCUGAACCAGCCAAGUAGCGUGAAGGAUGACUGCCCUAUGGGUUGUAAACUUCUUUUAUACGGGAAUAAAGUGAGGCACGUGUGCCUUUUUGUAUGUACCGUAUGAAUAAGGAUCGGCUAACUCCGUGCCAGCAGCCGCGGUAAUACGGAGGAUCCGAGCGUUAUCCGGAUUUAUUGGGUUUAAAGGGAGCGUAGGCGGACGCUUAAGUCAGUUGUGAAAGUUUGCGGCUCAACCGUAAAAUUGCAGUUGAUACUGGGUGUCUUGAGUACAGUAGAGGCAGGCGGAAUUCGUGGUGUAGCGGUGAAAUGCUUAGAUAUCACGAAGAACUCCGAUUGCGAAGGCAGCCUGCUGGACUGUAACUGACGCUGAUGCUCGAAAGUGUGGGUAUCAAACAGGAUUAGAUACCCUGGUAGUCCACACAGUAAACGAUGAAUACUCGCUGUUUGCGAUAUACAGUAAGCGGCCAAGCGAAAGCGUUAAGUAUUCCACCUGGGGAGUACGCCGGCAACGGUGAAACUCAAAGGAAUUGACGGGGGCCCGCACAAGCGGAGGAACAUGUGGUUUAAUUCGAUGAUACGCGAGGAACCUUACCCGGGCUUGAAUUGCAACUGAAUGAUGUGGAGACAUGUCAGCCGCAAGGCAGUUGUGAAGGUGCUGCAUGGUUGUCGUCAGCUCGUGCCGUGAGGUGUCGGCUUAAGUGCCAUAACGAGCGCAACCCUUAUCGAUAGUUACCAUCAGGUUAUGCUGGGGACUCUGUCGAGACUGCCGUCGUAAGAUGUGAGGAAGGUGGGGAUGACGUCAAAUCAGCACGGCCCUUACGUCCGGGGCUACACACGUGUUACAAUGGGGGGUACAGAAGGCAGCUACACGGCGACGUGAUGCUAAUCCCGAAAGCCUCUCUCAGUUCGGAUUGGAGUCUGCAACCCGACUCCAUGAAGCUGGAUUCGCUAGUAAUCGCGCAUCAGCCACGGCGCGGUGAAUACGUUCCCGGGCCU
rnacentral:rRNA from 1 species